AUGAAAUAGAUGAACUGUCGUCUUUUUCUUACAAAACCGCGCGAUCAUGUUGAUUCCGGUAAAGCGCUAGAAUCAGUCAUGCGCUGGCUUUGUCGAAGGCUGGACUGUUUUUAUUUUUUUUUAAAGUGACACAAAGCUAAAUAAGCCGGUGUAUUACAUACAGCAUGGCGUCUUCUUCUAGGGCACGUAAAAUAUUAGGCUUAGUCGAAAAUAAUUUAUCAUCCGAUGACAACAAUAAAGUAGCUGUCAAUGAAAAACCCCAAUACAUCAAUAACCAAAGUUUUAAUAGUCUGGUGCCCUGUUAUGAUAGUGAUAUGACUAUGAGCGACAACGAAAAUACGACACGUGAUAUGAACUCUCCUAGCAAAAUAGUGGCCACAAACAUUCUGGGAGUUACUUUGCCUUCAUCUUCAUCCAGCUCCAGCAGCUCAUCAUCUGACUCGUCCUCGUCCAGUUCUGGUUCGAAUUCAGAGACCAAAAGCUUGCAUGAAACAAACCCCUUGCCUAAUGUUUCAUGUACAGAUGAAGAAAAUGACGUUAUCGAAAAUACUCCCCCAGAGCAACUGAACAAGAGUAGGCAG